rnacentral:rRNA from 1 species
UACAGAGGGUGCAAGCGUUAAUCGGAAUCACUGGGCUUAAAGCGUUCGUAGGCGGGCUUGCAGGCGCGUUUGUGAAAGCCCCCGGCUCAACCGGGGAACUGCUUCGCGAACCGCAAGUCUUGAGUCAAGUAGGGGCGGUCGGAACGAUAGGUGGAGCGGUGAAAUGCGUAGAUAUCUAUCGGAACGCCAAAGGUGAAGACAGGCCGCUGGGCUUGUACUGACGCUGAGGAACGAAAGCGUGGGGAGCAAACGGG